ACUCAAGAAAAGAAUUUUAGUUCUACUGAAAGUCCUCUUAAUUUUUAUAAAAUAAACCCAAGACUUUUAUGUUACCCAAGUAAGGUACAGCUUACUUGAGACAGGGUACAACCUCCACCACUGGGUAAGCCAUUCUAUACAACGUAAAUUUGUGGGCCUAAAAGCAGCCAUCCACUAUAGCGUCAAAGCUUAUUUGCGUUCAAAACUAAUAACUUGAUUUUUCCCCGAGCCCCCCCCCAGUAUUGAGUAAUUCUAUGUCCGCCCAUAGAAUUUUCUAUGUUAAAACUAGUAACAAGAAGCUAGCCUUCUCUAGAAUGUACGCAUAAGCCAGACCUGAACUCAGCACUGACUAUUAACAGCCUUCUACAAAGAAGAAACUUUUCAAGUAAAAUCUUCUUUAUAACCUGUUAACCUAACACAAGCGCAUUUCAAGAAAGAUUAAAAGAAAAUGAAGGAACUCGGCAAACCACGACCUCGCCUGUUUACCAAAAACAUCGCCUCUUGAAAUAUAUAAGAGGUCCAGCCUGCCCAGUGACUUGUUUAACGGCCGCGGUAUCCUAACCGUGCGAAGGUAGCGUAAUCACUUGUCUUUUAAAUAAAGACUAGUAUGAAAGGCAUCACGAGGGUCAAACUGUCUCCUUUUUCUAAUCAGUGAAACUAAUCUCCCCGUGAAGAAGCGGGGAUUCAUCUAUAAGACGAGAAGACCCUAUGGAGCUUUAAACUGUAAAUUAUUCGCCUACUCCCCUUAAUCUAUUCCAGAAACUUAAUACCUUAGGCCCCUUAAUUAUACGUUUUAGGUUGGGGUGACCUAGGAGAAAAACUAAUCCUCCUAGUUGAUACGGGCUAAGCCCUAAGAAAAAAGCCACAACUUUAGCCACCAAUAAAUUGACAUCAAUUGACCCAGUCCGCUGUGCAACGAACCAAGUUACCCUAGGGAUAACAGCGCAAUCUACUUCAAGAGUUCCUAUCGACAAGUGGGUUUACGACCUCGAUGUUGGAUCAGGGUAUCCGAGUGGUGCAGCCGCUACUGAAGGUUCGUUUGUUCAACGAUUAAAACCCU
rnacentral:rRNA from 1 species